AACUUUCUCCCAUCUCCCGACUGCAUCUCUGGAGCUCAGCCACAGUGAUCUUUGGGUUCUUCUUUACCUCUCUCACCAAGGCUCUUCUCCCCUGAUAGCUCAGUUGGCCAGAUCUGUGCCUUGCCACAAUUCUCUGAGCUCUUCAGGCAGUUCCUUUGACCUCAUGAUUCUCAUUUGCUCUGACAUGCACUGUGAGCUGUAAGGUCUUAUAUAGACAGGUGUGUGGCUUUCCUAAUCAAGUCCAAUCAGUAUAAUCAAACACAGCUGGACUCAAAUGAAGGUGUAGAACCAUCUCAAGGAUGAUCAGAAGAAAUGGACAGCACCUGAGUUAAAUAUAUGAGUGUCACAGCAAAGGGUCUGAAUACUUAGGACCAUGUGAUAUUUCAGUUUUUCUUUUUUAAUAAAUCUGCAAAAACAAUUCUGUGUUUUUCUGUCAAUAUGGGGUGCUGUGUGUACAUUAAUGUGGAAAAAAAAAGAACUUAAAUGAUUUUAGCAAAUGGCUGCAAUAUAACAAAGAGUGAAAAAUUUAAGGGGGUCUGAAUACUUUCCGUACCCACUGUAUACAUACAUAUAUAUAUGUAUUGCAAAAGGAGCUUAAGCAGCUGAAACUGGAACCCCCCCCCCCCCUUUGAUGCUUUCACUAUGAUUGUGAUCAGUGGACCCAUCUCUGACUAUGACUGUCUCUUCUCUAGUGCCAGUGAUUUCUGCUGCUGCUGCUGCGUUCGCUGCUUUCAUUACUGUUCUUCUCUGGUUGAUCUGGAGAAAAAGAGCUGGUAAUAAAAGAGAGACUGAUGAAUCGGCGGUCAAAAAUGAGACGAUUAACAUGUCCACUCCUGCUGCUGCGAGAGACAACGAGCAGACACGUGAUGUGACUUACUCUGAAGUCUCUUCUUCCAGUAAAAAUCCAGUAAAAUCACUCAAAGCUCAAGAUGAUUCAGUGACUUACGCUGCCAUCAGAUGAACAGAAAAUGAGCCGCUGGGUGAACUUUACGCCUCUGUGAACAAGAACAAGAGCUGCACAAAUCCAGGUUCAUGAUACAGAUCACUGCAUGAGCUCCUCGUAUCAGCAGCAGAUGUGACGUUUCCACGACUGCUGAGAUUCAUGGCUUUGCUGUUUGGAAGAAUUAGAUAUUUGUAUGUGAAUCAACAGAACUUUUAUGCAGAUAUUUGUUGAAUUCAUACAGAGCCCCUAAAAGGAUAUGGUAGUAGAAAAAGUUUAAUGUGGGAGGAAAAAAUAUUUUUCAAAACUUUUGCAUUCCCUCAAGAAACUUUUGCAUUCUCUCGCAAAACUAGUUGAGUUCGGACAAACUCUUCCUGUUUACUUAGGUUUAUACAGCUCCAUAUGUUCACAAUGGAGCAGUUCAUAGAGUUUUAUUUUGAACUUGGACUCAAAUAUACAAAAAUACAGUCAGUGCUUAGUUCAAGGCACGGUUUUGGGGAAUUCUAAAAUGCUUAAUGUGGCUUAAUGUUUUAAAAAAAUUGACAUUGGAGGACAAAAAUCUAUAAUAAUAAAUAUUGAUAAAAUUAUUAGGCUAAUAACCUU
ensembl:lncRNA